rnacentral:rRNA from 1 species
UACGGGGGGUGCGAGCGUUGUCCGGAAUCACUGGGCGUAAAGGGCGCGUAGGUGGCGCCCCAAGUCCGUGGUGAAAGCUCGAUGCUCAACAUCGAGUCGGCCACGGAAACUGGGGGGCUCGAGCACUGUAGAGGCAGAUGGAAUUCCGGGUGUAGCGGUGGAAUGCGUAGAGAUCCGGAAGAACACCGGUGGCGAAGGCGGUCUGCUGGGCAGUAGCUGACACUGAGGCGCGACAGCGUGGGGAGCAAACAGG